UACGGAGGAUCCAAGCGUUGUCCGGAUUUAUUGGGUUUAAAGGGUGCGUAGGCGGCUUUGUAAGUCAGGAGUGAAAGUUUGCGGCUCAACCGUAAAAUUGCUUUUGAUACUGCGAGGCUAGAAUUAGGAUGAGGUCAGCGGAAUGUGGCAUGUAGCGGUGAAAUGCUUAGAUAUGACACAGAACACCGAUUGCGAAGGCAGCUCACUAAGCCAUAACUGACGCUGAUGCACGAAAGCGUGGGGAGCAAACAGG
rnacentral:rRNA from 1 species